AAAUUAAGAGUAGGGAAGUGUGUGAGCCAUGCGUCAAGAAAAGCCGCUAUUGUUUUACUUAAGCCCGUACCGUAAACCGACACAGGUGGAUGAGGAGAGAAUCCUAAGGCCGACGGGAGAAGCAUUGUUAAGGAACUCGGCAAAAUGACUCCGUAACUUCGGGAGAAGGAGUGCCAGCGAGAGCUGGCCGCAGAGAAUUGGCCCAAGCAACUGUUUAGCAAAAACACAGGUCUAUGCAAAACCGUAAGGUGAAGUAUAUGGGCUGACGCCUGCCCGGUGCUGGAAGGUUAAGAGGAGAGGUUAGCGGUAACGCGAAGCUUUGAAUUUAAGCCCCAGUAAACGGCGGCCGUAACAAUAACGGUCCUAAGGUAGCGAAAUUCCUUGUCGGGUAAGUUCCGACCCGCACGAAAGGCGUAAUGAUUUGGGCACUGUCUCAACAAUGCACCCGGUGAAAUUGAAAUACCAGUGAAGAUGCUGGUUACCUGCGCCAGGACGGAAAGACCCCAUGGAGCUUUACUCCAGCUUGAUACUGGGAUUCGGUAUUGCAUGUACAGGAUAGGUGGGAGGCUAGGAAGUGAUAACGCCAGUUGUCACGGAGCCGCUGUUGGGAUACCACCCUUGCAGUAUUGGAUUUCUAACCAGCGACCAUGAACUGGUCGGGGGACAAUGUCAGGUGGGGAGUUUGACUGGGGCGGUCGCCUCCGAAAGGGUAUCGGAGGCGCUCAAAGGUUCCCUCAGAAUGGACGGAAACCAUUCGAAGAGUGCAAAGGCAGAAGGGAGCUUGACUGCGACACCGACGGGUGGAGCAGGUACGAAAGUAGGACUUAGUGAUCCGGUGGUAUAAAGUGGGAUUGCCAUCGCUCAACGGAUAAAAGCUACCCUGGGGUAACAGGCUUAUCACUCCCAAGAGUUCACAUCGACGGAGUGGUUUGGCACCUCGAUGUCGGCUCAUCGCAUCCUGGGGCUGAAGUAGGUCCCAAGGGUUGGGCUGUUCGCCCAUUAAAGCGGUACGCGAGCUGGGUUCAGAACGUCGUGAGACAGUUCGGUCCCUAUCCGGCGUGGGCGUAGGAUAUUUGAGAGGAGCUGUCCUUAGUACGAGAGGACCGGGAUGGACUGGCCGCUGGUGUAUCUGUUGCAUACCAAAUGCAUGGCAGAGUAGCCAAGCCGGGACGGGAUAAACGCUGAAGGCAUCUAAGCGUGAAGCCCCCCUCAAGAUGAGAUAUCCCUACGUAAGUAGUAAGACCCCUUGAAGACGACGAGGUAGAUAGGUCAGAGGUGGAAGUACAGUAAUGUAUGGAGCUGACUGAUACUAAUCGGUCGAGGGCAUGAUC
rnacentral:rRNA from 1 species